GACGAACCGUGCGAACGUUAUUCGGAUUCACUGGGCUUAAAGGGCGCGUAGGCGGGCUAGCCAGUCCGGGGUGAAAUCUUUCGGCUUAACCGGAAAAGUGCCUUGGAUACUGCUGGCCUUGAGGGAGGUGAGGGGCAUGUGGAACUUCCGGUGGAGCGGUGAAAUGCGUUGAUAUCGGAAGGAACGCCGGUGCGAAGCGACGUGCUGGCCCGUCUCUGACGCUGAGGCGCGAAAGCCAGGGGAGGCGAAACGGG
rnacentral:rRNA from 1 species